GACAGGCAUAGUGGUGUGCACUUUUAGUCUCAGCAACUCAGGAGGCUCAGACAGGAGAACUGAUUGAGCACAAGAGUUCUGGGCUAUAGUGUGCUAUGCCAAGUGGGUGUCUGCACUAAGUUUGGCAUUAAUAUGGUAACCUCUUGGGACAGGGAACUACCAGGUUGCCUAAGGAGGAGUGAACUGGUCCAGGCUGGAAAUGGAGCAGGUCAAAAUUCCUAUGCUGAUCAUUAGUGGGAUGGCACCUGUGAAUAGCCACUGCCCUCCAGCCUGGGCAACACAGCAAGACCCCAUCUGUC
ensembl:misc_RNA Metazoa_SRP Metazoan signal recognition particle RNA